rnacentral:rRNA from 1 species
UGAGCAAUCUGCCCUUCUCAUCGGAAUAAGCGUUGGAAACGACGUCUAAUGCCGAAUACGACCUCCUUUCGCAUGAUCGGAGGUGGAAAGCUCCGGCGGAGAAGGAUGAGCUCGCGGCCUAUCAGCUAGUUGGUGUGGGUAACGGCCCACCAAGGCGACGACGGGUAGCCGGCCUGAGAGGGUGACCGGCCACACUGGGACUGAGACACGGCCCAGACCUCCGUACGGGAGNAG